rnacentral:rRNA from 1 species
CCUACGGGGUGCUGCAGUGAGGAAUAUUGGUCAAUGGGCGGGAGCCUGAACCAGCAAAGUCGCGUGAGGGAAGACGGUCCUAUGGAUUGUAAACCUCUUUAGGCGGGGAGCAAAGCCGGGCACGUGUGCCAGGAGGGCGAGUAUCCGCAGAAUACGCAUCGGCUAACUCCGUGCAAGCAGCCGCGGUAAUACGGAGGAUGCGAGCGUUAUCCGGAUUUAUUGGGGUAAAAGGGUACGUAGGGGGAUUUUUAGGUCAGCGGUAAAAUGUCCGGGCUAAACCCGGGCCUGCCUUUGAAACUGGGGAACUGGAUUGGGCGAGAGGUAUGCGGAAUGCGUGGUGUAGCGGUGAAAUGCAUAGAUAUCACGCAGAACUCCGAUUGCGAAGGCAGCAUACCGGCGCCCGACUGACGCUGAGGCACGAAAGCGUGGGGAUCGAACAGGAUUAGAUACCCCUGUAGUC